GGGACUAUAGUUAAUAAUAACAUUUGAGUUGCAUUCAAAAGGUACUACCCCAAGUAGUUAGCCUCA
rnacentral:tRNA from 2 species